AUAAUACUCUACCUUGCCACAAGAAAAAAAUGAAGUGACAUUUAUAAACAUUUCCGUGUUUUGCAAUUCCGUUUCUUUAGAAAUUUUAAAUGAUUGAUAAUUUAUCGCCCUUUGAAUCGACACGCCAUUUGUAAACAUCGAAGGUCACGGAGAAAAUGAAACUACCAAAAACAAUUAUUUGAUGAUUUAUUUCGAUUGUAUAAAGAAUGACAGUUAGCGAAUCUCAAGAUCAACCACUGUGGAUUGUUUGGCUUGAUGCAAUGACCUUAAACAGUGAAAUGAUUUUCCAGGAAGGUCUAUACACAACAAGCUGGAUUUUAUGGGGUGAUGAAAGAACUAUGAAUAUAUAAAUGGGAAUGAAACAGAAGGAAUUAAUAUGUUCUACUGAUCAUCCAGCUGAAAUCAUGCCUGUGGAAUAGAGUGCAUGUCACAAAUAGUGAUAUGAGCAAAUAACUCCAUAUUGCACAAAUAAUGUCAUGUUUCCUUCCCUCAUGACCUGAAAAAGUUAAAAAUUCUAGUUCAAAUUACAGAUGUGUUUCAAGAAAAAGCUGUGAAGUUGUUUGAGAAGCACUAUCCUAAUUGUUCUAACAAUACAGAAUUUAACUUAUAAAUUUUCCAAAACUGCAUGCAUGAAAUACUAAGACAUGUCUGUUGAAUGAAUCCUAGUUGUUUCAAAACUACAACAUGUGUGACAUUAAAGCACAACCUUUGGAGGAAACAUUUUUACAAUAAAAACUGCCUUACCAGUGUGAGUGUAGGAAGGAUUUUUCUAGAAAUGGCAGAAAACUACCAAUAUAGCAGAAAAUAUUUGUUACUGGCUGAAUAUAAUAUAUUUUAUUUCAAGAAUUAAUCAUGUUAAUCCAUGGUUAUAAUUGUGUUAAAAGAUAUUUUUAAAUGACAUGACCUUUGCAGAAAUAGCUAUUUUUUUGCAAAACAUUGUGAGUUGCCAUGGUAACACAAAUUUGACUUAAAUUUAGAUUUGUUUGAUUAUGUAAACAGCAUGUGUCUUGUUUAUAUUCUGCUAAUCAGACUGGAAGAAAAUAUCUUUUAUGUGUAACCAUCAACAAAACAUAUCAUAACACAUAUCUGCCAUAAAAUGGCAGAGCUGUAAUGCAGGUAGGCAUAUCAGGAAAAUAUGUAGUUCUGAAAGACAAGUUAUAUUACAUAAAAUGAUGUUUUUUUGUUUUUUUUUUAUAAAUGAUCAUAAUUGACCAUUCGUGGUGUAAAACAAAUGUAUACUGAACAGAUGCUAAAUGAAUGUUCUGAUUCUUUCUGGAAAAUUUACAAAAAACUACUAUUUUAAGAAAAUAGUACAUUGUUGCCAUGGUAACAUUGAUUUAACUUUAAUAUUAAAUUAUUUUGGAUAUCAUCAUAUGUAAACAACAUCUUUCUUGUUUAUAUGUUAUAUAUCUUAAGCUGUAUUAUGUUAGUGAAUAUAUUUUCAUAUGUAAUAAUUGCAUCAACAAAGCACUAUGUUAUUACACAAGCCUGCCUUAAAAUGGCAAUAGUUGUAACUGAGAGAGGUGUAUCUGAAAAUUAUGUAUUUCUCAAACCAUAUUACAUUAAUUUUCACAGAAUGAUGUCUACUCUCUUACUUUUAAAUAAGAAAACAGACAGCUUUUGAUGUAAAUAUAUGGAAAAACACUUCCAAUAUUCAAUUAAUUACAAAGAAAUUGCCAAAAAUGUUAGUAUUUUUGUAAGAAAAUACCACAUCGUUGCCAUGGUAAUGAUUCACUGAUCAGUAUAUCUAAGUCUUUUGAAAUUUUAGCAAACUCACAGUUAAUAAUAACAGUCUAAUAAUUUUCUUUCUUACUGUUUAAUAGAUAAGGUGUCUAUAAUAAUAAGAUUAUUGUCCUAGUUUUUGGGAUGUUGUCUAAUUUGAUAUCAAAUAAAUUCUGUAUCUUGUUCAAAAGAAUGUCAUAAAACAGUUGUCUGCAAACUGUUAGCACACUAGAAAAAGUUAAUUGUGUAUUUAUUUCACAUUCUAUGUAAUUUAUUGCUAGAUUCAUCAAGAGACUGUUAAAAAAGAGGUUAAACAACAGUGUUGCUAUAGAAACGAUUUUUAGAACAUAAAUAUUUUUAUGCUACAUGAAAGAAAGAGACAAAAAGAAAUACAUUCCAUUAAUUGCA